AAGAGGAAAGAGAAGAUUAGGGUUUUUGAGGUAGAAGGAGGAGAUCGGAUCAGAACCGACGUCGGAGAUCCGAGUCCCCAAUCUAAACCAUCAACAGUCCGAGGCAAGGUGCUCUCACGAAUCGCACCUUCCUAUUUCUUCAAAACAUCCAAGAACUUCAGUUAUCUGGUUAAGUUCUGAAGUGAAGGCGGCCAAGAUUGGCGUUCAAGUCUGAGUUUCAAGAAAACGUGAUUUUCGGAGAGAGGGAGGAGACGCCGCCACGCGUCGGCCAGCGUACAGAGGAGCGCGGCGAAACCGGUGAUCGACACGUGGCGAUCACCGACUGGUGAGGCACGUCUUCACCCGACAGCAGACACGCGUCAGGCACGCGGAUUCGAGUCGGCCCGACCGGCACCGCACGAAAACCGCUCCAUCUGUAAAUCGUCCCAACCUGGUGCCUCUAACCUGCGACUGCUCGGGAAGCCGCGCGUGGGCACGUGCGCGUAGAAACCUUCAGGGCGCGUGUAGGAGCGACCUGUCUAGGAAAUUCUAGAAUUUUUGGAAUCUUUUUCGUCAAGAAAACUCGAACUCGGGAAGGCACGCGUCAACCAUGUAGAGGUAAAGUGCACAUGUACGAAUGACGGCGGCAUCACGAGCAAAUAUUGUGGCACAUAUCAUUUUUCUUGAUAUCAUAUUGAUUGUUUUAUUUAAAUUCUUAAUAAAAAUUAAAGUGGUUCCCUAUGCUUCCAUUGUGAGGAUGAAAAGCUCAUGAAUAAGCGCAUUCAUAUGGAGUUAGACAAGAGAUAGGCUAUUCAAGUCGUGAUUUCAGGUUGGAAACAUCAAGUGCAGGUUGCAGUUUUGGGACGAAUCGGGUAAGGUGAUGCACGUCACCACAGUACGUAGACGCAUUACUCCACCUGUUGUGUGACACAUAUCAUACGCUUAGCUAGUCACACUUCACCUCUCGCUGCUUAAUGUGUCCUUUCCUGUUUGACUCCUGCAACUGCCUGA